CCUGCCUGCAUUCCUCACUGGGUCGAUACCUGCGUCAGGUUCUCAGGCUAUAGCAAGCAUCAACAAGUAGCUUGAAUGGUGGAGAAAGGGAAAGGAGCCAGGUACAGUGGGGUGCGGUGUCAGCAGCUCCCGAGGUGGGUCCCUGCACUGUAAAUCACUGCCCCAGCACUGCCCUGACACGUUUCCAGCAGGGACUCUCUCUUGGAGGAGGCACAGACUGUGGUUCUAUUCCAGGUGAUGACUACAGAGCCCACAGAGCAUUUGGCAGCAGGGAGGGGUGUUAAACCAGCCUGUUCUUCUCCAGGUACAUCACCUCCUCCCUCUCCCCUUUGUUCCCUGGCUGUUUCAGUGCUGCACUGCCACUGGGCUGCAGGACUGCAGUGUGAAAUCAGAGCAGUGCAGUGGGGGAGGCCUGAUGGAUGAAAGCCCCACAUCCUUACUGCCCUGUGCACACUUUCUGUUCCUAGGUUGCUCUCCAGUGUGUCUUUAUUUUUGCCUGUUCAAAUUUAGGCCAGCAUUGAUGCCACAAACACGGCUGUGGAGAACUGUGGCUACCAUUGCUGCACAGCACAAACUGUGGCUAGAAACCCAACACCAUACCCCUCUGGCUGGAGAGCUGUUGCCAUCCCAUCACCUUACCUCUGCCUCUAUUAGAUGGUCACUCGUGAUGGUGAAGGUGGGUCCCUCAUACAGGCAGGAGCUGCUGCGGAGUACUGGAAGUAACCUUUUUGUUGCUACUGGAAUACAUCCUGUCGUUUGGGAUGAUUUUGGUCAGAGGUUUCCAAUAGUGCUGAUACCCUGCGGCAUUGGUCAGGCCCGUGACAGCCCAUUCAGCAGAAUCCCAAUUUUAGCCUUUCCAUUUCUGGCUCACCCUGAUGUGCCUGAUGUCCAAGCCAAGAUGCUAUUUCUUGCAAGGAAAUUAUCUUUGUUAAUUUUAGAUCUCAUUCCCCAAAGUGCUGCAUAACUACAGCUAUUCCAGGUAGUCAUGGGCAGCGGGAGGUAUUUGAUCGUUGAGGGAUAUGGCUCUUUCUUGCAGUAAGAUGACCACAUCUGAUGGAUUACAUUUCCUUUGUCCAGUGCAGGGCUUUAAGGCUCAGCAGGAAGCCAGCCCCAUGCUGUGUGGGUAUCAGCCAUCACUGCAGACUCGGAGCCAGAUCACCAGCUGCGAUACCUGGGAAGAGAAAAGCUCCUUCUCUUCAAGGUGAGCCUCCGGAGCAGAGCAGCAUAGUCAGAGAAGAGGCACGACGAUGGAACCAGGAGAGCAGCAUUCAGCCCGGCACCAGCCUUUUCUCCUGCUUAAUUCUUCCUUUGCUUCUGGGAAACUUCUGUUGGCGCGCUCAUUCACACACCAAACAGGGCAUCCUAGUGACAGUCAGGACCUGAACACUUCGCUGACAGUGUCAAGGUUUUAAGACUAAAGACAACAAAUAAUACUGUAAGUGGAGGCAGAUUUUAUUUGGACUGUACAAACAGGGCACUGGGGGGAAAAGAACCCCAAACAAAACAAAAAAAAACCCAAAACCCAAACA